rnacentral:rRNA from 1 species
GAACGCCGUAGCAAUACGGAGUGGCAGACGGGUGAGUAACGCGUGGGAACAUACCCUUCGGUUCGGAAUAACUCAGGGAAACUUGAGCUAAUACCGGAUACGUCCGAGGUUUUAAUCGACCUUGGAGAAAGAUUUAUCGCCGGAGGAUUGGCCCGCGUCUGAUUAGCUUGUUGGUGAGGUAACGGCUCACCAAGGCGACGAUCAGUAGCUGGUCUGAGAGGAUGAUCAGCCACAUUGGGACUGAGACACGGCCCAAACUCCUACGGGAGGCAGCAGUGGGGAAUAUUGGACAAUGGGCGAAAGCCUGAUCCAGCCAUGCCGCGUGAGUGAUGAAGGCCUUAGGGUUGUAAAGCUCUUUUACCCGGGAAGAUAAUGACGGUACCGGGAGAAUAAGCCCCGGCUAACUUCGUGCCAGCAGCCGCGGUAAUACGAAGGGGGCUAGCGUUGUUCGGAAUUACUGGGCGUAAAGCGCACGUAGGCGGAUCUUUAAGUCAGGGGUGAAAUCCCGAGGCUCAACCUCGGAACUGCCUUUGAUACUGGGGAUAUCGAGUCCGGGAGAGGUGAGCGGAACUGCGAGUGUAGAGGUGAAAUUCGUAGAUAUUCGCAAGAACACCAGUGGCGAAGGCGGCUCACUGGCCCGGUACUGACGCUGAGGUGCGAAAGCGUGGGGA